GGAAUUUUGCGCAAUGGGGGAAACCCUGACGCAGCAACGCCGCGUGACCGAUGACGCCCUUCGGGGUGUAAAGGUCUGUCAGUGGGGACGAACAAUGACGGUACCCACAGAGGAAGCACCGGCUAACUCCGUGCCAGCAGCCGCGGUAAUACGGGGGGUGCGAGCGUUGUCCGGAAUCAUUGGGCGUAAAGAGUUCGUAGGUGGUAUGUUAAGUCUGGUGUUAAAGGCAGAGGCUCAACUUCUGUAUGGCACUGGAUACUGGCAAACUAGAAUGCGGUAGAGGUAAAGGGAAUUCCUGGUGUAGCGGUGAAAUGCGUAGAUAUCAGGAGGAACAUCGGAGGCGUAAGCGCUUUACUGGGCCGUAAUUGACACUGAGGAACGAAAGCCGGGGUAGCAAAUG
rnacentral:rRNA from 1 species